rnacentral:lncRNA from 1 species
AGGGAUCGAUUGAGGAUUCGACACUAAUAUCUGAUCCACAGAUCUCGAUUCGCUAUCUUGUGAUUGUCUCUCUCUCGAUUCCAGCUCAAGCGGCUUAAGCCAACUCAACUCCCGAUGGCAACAGUAUCUUUUCUCUAUUUUGACCUAUACAUACACGAAAGAAAAAUUUUAUUAAUUUAAUUGGAUAUUAAAAAUGUCAUUGUUAUUUGUCAUUAAUUUUUUUUUAGAUGCAACCCCC